ACUGGUGUAUAUGAUGACUGAACUUUUUUCCCCGACAGAUCGACCAUGUUGAUCUAACUUAACUAAGCCAGUUUCCGUCUGAUACACCUGU